AGAGGGCGUGAAACCGUUUAGAAGGAAACGUGAGGCGCCGUGUUUUGCCUUCAGGAUUCAAUCGUCAAUCUACUUUGGUGAUUGUCGGUGCAUUUUCUGCUGUCAUUCACUGAGGGCCGUGCUAGAAUUAAUGGCUUAAUAUGAUAGAGAUGCACUUCGGCGAUGAUCUGUCUUGUGUGGUCGUAAUUUUGGUACGGUUAUUUGAGCACUCUGUAAAGCUAGACGUUGGAUGAUCGUUAUUUGCUGUUUGCUUGUUAACCUUUGGUUGGCGGCAUUCAGUGCGUCUGGUGAUUUCUGCGUUUGGAGGUGCUCAUUCGGUGUGAAUUUCGGCUAACCUCCCGACCCGUCUUGAAACACGGACCAAGGAGUUUAACUUGUGCGAGACUCAGAGGAUGGGUCAAACCUACAGUCGAAAUGAAGGUAAAGGCCAGCUCUGUUGGCUGACACACAAUCCAUUCAGCUUGCUGUCUGGCACAGUGUGGUCCCAUCUUGGAUGCUUGUCAUCGAGGUGGAGAUUGAGCGUACAGGUUGAGACCCGAAAGAUGGUGAACUAUGCCUGAACAGGAUGAAGUCAGAGGAAACUCUGAUGGAAGUCCGAAGCGGUUCUGACGUGCAAAUCGA
rnacentral:rRNA from 1 species